rnacentral:lncRNA from 1 species
UAUACAUAAAGAAUAUUACCACUAACAAAUGCAGACAGGCUAGGACAUGGUACUGGGUGGAGGACGGCUAGCUCUUUGGAAAGUGAAAGGUUUGGGUGGCGUGGGCCUCAUGCCACACUGAUUGGUCAGUAGACAGGGGGCACAUGCCAAACACCACAGGGCAUCAGAGGCUGUGGGAAGAGAAGGCAGCACCAAUGGUGGCACCUUCUAAUACUGGUUGUUCUAGGGGCAGGGAGAGGGAAAGGUCUUUUUUUAAACCAAGCCCCUCAUUUCAAUGUACAAAAGAAUUACUCUGAUCGAUAUUAAAUCGUAUUGAAAACAAAAUGGACUAAAAAGCAAAUACUACUCUAUGUUGGGGUGGAAGUGGGAGGAAAGAAUGAGUCCUUCGAAGCAGGAAGGGAGAUAGCAGGGGAAAGGUUCUGUGCCUGUGACCUUGGGCGGUCACUCACGUUGCUCCAUUUUUACUUUCGGUGGUCUCAGGAAGGUCCGAUUUUUCUUCUCUUUCUUCCCCUUCGUAUUGGCUUGGAAGUUUCGCCAGCUGUCCACACGACCAUCUCGACUUUCCUAAGUACAAAAGAAGUUUGAGGUGAGGAGACCAGUCAAUGAGUGGAAAGGCCUAAACCUGGUCUGCCAUCCACUCACCCUCCUGUAGCCCAGCCCACUUCAGUCCUCUGGAA